GAUGAUUCAGGUGUGUCCCCAUGAAAGUGGUGAAUACUUUUCAAAGGCACUUGGCCAUUCAUGGAGCUUAAAUCCCUGGAACCACAACUUCCGAGGCAAAGCAAGUUUAGCCCGGCCUUUUUGUCGCUCACUCCGUCACCACUCGGCCUCCACAGUCACCACCCACGCCUUAGCGGCAGCUGUCACCAUGACGCCCCGCGGGGGAACGUUGCCCGGCAGGCGGGGAGGUGGAAGCUGGGAAGCAGAGUCUAAAAAAAAAUCUGACACAGUGAAUAAUGAA